rnacentral:rRNA from 1 species
UACGUAGGGUGCGAGCGUUGUCCGGAAUUAUUGGGCGUAAAGAGCUUGUAGCGGUCUGUCGCGUCUGCUGUGAAAAUCCGGGGCUCAACCCCGGACUUGCAGUGGGUACGGGCAGACUAGAGUGUUGGUAGGGGGAGACUGGAAUUCCUGGUGUAGCGGUGAAAUGCGCAGAUAUCAGGAGGAACACCGAUGGCGAAGGCAGCUCGCUGGGACGGUCA